rnacentral:lncRNA from 1 species
GUUUUAUUCAAGGGGGUGGGUGGGGAUCCGAGCUAGUCUGGGUUGACAUUGGAAUUUCUGAUGUCAGGUCCCAGUUGAAGCAGUAUUUUACUUGAGCUGUCUCUGAUGUCAGGGGGAUAGAAAAAAUUCCUGGUGAGCAGGAAGAAGAGUGUAUAAAGGGUAACGGGAUUUGUGUGUAUAUAUACCAUGUGCAGGUCAAGAACCUCAAAGAUGGCUUCUUGGAACUCCUUAUGCUGCUGAUGAAAAGAAAACACUGCCAGACAGGUAACUGGUAGAGGCUCCUUGAAUCAGAAGCACACACACCUGGACCCAAUCUAGAAGGAUGGAAAACUUUUUCAAAUCAACUGUAGUAACCCAGCUGACAUGUCAUAGCAACAUGAUUGAAUGACUCAGGAGUGUCUGUGAAGAACAGGGGAUAGGCACCUUGAAGUAUCUGAUGCUCUGUUGCCAUAUCAAAGUUGGAUAACUUAGCCAAAUCUAACUUCUUUGCCACCAGGAGCAAUCUCAUCUAAAAGUCUUACUGAUUCACA